rnacentral:rRNA from 1 species
UUAAAUUGAAGAGUUUGAUCAUGGCUCAGAUUGAACGCUGGCGGCAGGCCUAACACAUGCAAGUCGAACGGUAACAGGAAGCAGCUUGCUGCUUUGCUGACGAGUGGCGGACGGGUGAGUAAUGUCUGGGAAACUGCCUGAUGGAGGGGGAUAACUACUGGAAACGGUGGCUAAUACCGCAUAACGUCGCAAGACCAAAGAGGGGGACCUUCGGGCCUCUUGCCAUCAGAUGUGCCCAGAUGGGAUUAGCUUGUUGGUGAGGUAACGGCUCACCAAGGCGACGAUCCCUAGCUGGUCUGAGAGGAUGACCAGCCACACUGGAACUGAGACACGGUCCAGACUCCUACGGGAGGCAGCAGUGGGGAAUAUUGCACAAUGGGCGCAAGCCUGAUGCAGCCAUGCCGCGUGUAUGAAGAAGGCCUUCGGGUUGUAAAGUACUUUCAGCGGGGAGGAAGGUGUUGUGGUUAAUAACCGCAGCAAUUGACGUUACCCGCAGAAGAAGCACCGGCUAACUCCGUGCCAGCAGCCGCGGUAAUACGGAGGGUGCAAGCGUUAAUCGGAAUUACUGGGCGUAAAGCGCACGCAGGCGGUCUGUCAAGUCGGAUGUGAAAUCCCCGGGCUCAACCUGGGAACUGCAUUCGAAACUGGCAGGCUUGAGUCUUGUAGAGGGGGGUAGAAUUCCAGGUGUAGCGGUGAAAUGCGUAGAGAUCUGGAGGAAUACCGGUGGCGAAGGCGGCCCCCUGGACAAAGACUGACGCUCAGGUGCGAAAGCGUGGGGAGCAAACAGGAUUAGAUACCCUGGUAGUCCACGCCGUAAACGAUGUCUACUUGGAGGUUGUGCCCUUGAGGCGUGGCUUCCGGAGCUAACGCGUUAAGUAGACCGCCUGGGGAGUACGGCCGCAAGGUUAAAACUCAAAUGAAUUGACGGGGGCCCGCACAAGCGGUGGAGCAUGUGGUUUAAUUCGAUGCAACGCGAAGAACCUUACCUGGUCUUGACAUCCACAGAACUUUCCAGAGAUGGAUUGGUGCCUUCGGGAACUGUGAGACAGGUGCUGCAUGGCUGUCGUCAGCUCGUGUUGUGAAAUGUUGGGUUAAGUCCCGCAACGAGCGCAACCCUUAUCCUUUGUUGCCAGCG